CUUCCGUCUUCAACCUCCAGACCCCGCCUCUCUCAGUCUCUUUCCUUCCCAUGGCUCCUCCGAAAAUUUUACUCUGCGGCGACGUUUUGGGCCACCUCAAGCAGCUCUUUAAACGAGUCGCUUCGGUAUACAUAUCUCUCUCUCUCUCUCUCUCUCUCUCUCUCUCUCUACCUCUGUAUCUUUUUUUAGCUCAACUAAUUUUCGAUUUCUGAUUCUUACUGAUUUAACUUGUUCUAGGUCAACAAAUCGGCGGGUCCGUUCGACGCUUUGUUCUGCGUGGGCCAGUUCUUCCCCGACUCGGCGGACCAGCUCGACGAGUUCAAUGACUACAUUGAAGGCCGGGCACAAAUUCCUCUCCCAACCUACUUCAUCGGAGACUAUGGCGUUGCAGCCACUAAGGUACUCUUGGCCGCAACGAAAGAUUCCGAGAACCAAGGCUUCAAAUUGGACGGCUUGAAGAUAUGCAACAAUCUCUACUGGUUGAAAGGCAGUGGCAAAUUUAAGCUCCAUGGUAUCAU
rnacentral:lncRNA from 1 species